UACGAAGGGGGCUAGCGUUGCUCGGAAUCACUGGGCGUAAAGCGCACGUAGGCGGAUUGUUAAGUCGGGGGGUGAAAUCCUGGAGCUCAACUCCAGAACUGCCUUCGAUACUGACGAUCUCGAGUCCGGGAGAGGUGAGUGGAACUCCGAGUGUAGAGGUGAAAUUCGUAGAUAAUUCGGAAGAACACCAGUGGCGAAGGCGGCUCACUGGCCCGGGUACUG
rnacentral:rRNA from 1 species